rnacentral:rRNA from 1 species
UACGUAGGGGGCAAGCGUUGUCCGGAUUUAUUGGGCGUAAAGAGCGUGUAGGCGGCCAGACAGGUCCGUUGUGAAAACUCGAGGCUCAACCUCGAGACGCCGAUGGAAACCGUCUGGCUAGAGUCCGGAAGAGGAGAGUGGAAUUCCACGUGUAGCGGUGAAAUGCGUAGAGAUGUGGAGGAACACCAGUGGCGAAGGCGACUCUUUGGCCUGUAACUGACGCUGAGGCGCGAAAGCGUGGGGAGCAAACAGG